rnacentral:lncRNA from 1 species
CCCAGGCCUCCACUUCUAUAUUUUGUGGUAAAGAAUCCUAUGAGAGAUGACAUGAGGAGUUUUACAACUCACCAAGAUGUAGUGUUUUAUAAUAAGCUUUUAAGGAAAGUGAAAAUGAGUGAUGAAAAUGAGACCUUGCACAGUUAUCCACGUCCCCAGCACUGUGGAGAGCACACUUGCCCUUUUCUCAUGAAAUGGAGGACGUAUCUCUUGACAAAUUUCGUGAUGCCACUGAUACAGCUUUCCCACAGACAUGGCUGA